rnacentral:lncRNA from 1 species
CACAAUCAGCCUCCUCAAUCUCCAACCUGUUCUACAUCCCCUCUCCGCCCGUCCACAAUCAGCCUCCUCAAUCUCCAACCUCCUGCAGCCGUCCUUCUCUGAUUUGGAUCAAAGUAGAGCCAUCGAUGGAGGCAGGGGAGCAGCAGAUGGAGCAAAAGAAAUAAAGAAUCAGUUGCUCCCGCUGCUACCUCCCAGUCGCGUCCCACCCCGUUAGGAACGCUGCCCGGCUCCCCUGCUCCUAUCGCCCCACCUUUUCCUAGCCAAUAAUCAAGGUAAUUUCCCUCUCUUUGUUUUUUGCUUUACACGGUGCAUAGCAGUCAGAACUUGUACAUGUAAAUACUAAAACGUUAUGCUAUGCAGAUAGGCUUGCUCUAGGCGCUGAAUAUCUUGUAGUUGAAAUUACUUGGAUGCUUUCUAAAUGUGGUACUUACACAAUCAAGUUAUGUGUGCCAAGUCAAGUUUUAUGUGGUGGAUCAUGUGGGUAUAAAAGAAUAGAUUAGUAGUACCAAGUCUGAUCCGUCUUCACUAUGUGGAGCUUUCCAUUCGUCUUUUGUAAUGUUCCAUUAACCAUGUGGAGCUCUAGACAAAUUUUAUUGACUCCAAAAGAAACAGAUUGAUGAUGUUUUUUGUAGACAAAAUACAAUAAAAGGUCAUUGUUGCAUAAUUUGGGAAAGCAACAAAAGAUCUUUUUCAGAUAAUGAUGUGCUGUUAUGAUAUAUAUAAAAUCUUUGGGUCAUUCACCUCAUUGUAUUAUGAUUGAUGAGUUAAUCACCUCAUUCCCCUUCCUCCUCCCUGACGUAGGGGUGCAGUAGAGGAGCACCGGUGUAGAAUGCAUCUGCAGUGGUGCGGGUUGGGGACCGAGUGACGGAUUCAGGUCAAGGGGGUUUUCGGCUAGCGUAGAAGCAGGCUGCAUAAGAAUGCAAUAAUUUGAUUAAGCAAGACAGGCGUCUGGGAAACAAGCACGGUGAUGGCUUGCUCAACUAGAAGUUCUACAAUAAAUGGUACAAGCAUUGAUCCCUUCUUUCUGUACCUUUGGUUCUGGUUCACGGGAGCUUUAGCUCUUGAAGUUGGCUUGCUUUUACUGGUAAUGAAUUGUGGUAAUGCUUUUCUCAUCUUUCUUAGUUAGACGGGCACAGAUUUGUCCACGGCAGCAGCCGUCAUUUGUUUGAUUUUUGUAUUGUUGCGGUCGUGGCUCUUGAGCUGCAUUGAUUUUUCUAUUUCUUAACUAUUUUGUAUCACUUUUACCUGCAUAUUCAAGGAUUUUUUUUCUUGGUACUAGGAUGGCUAUUUUCUCCUGGAAUGCAGAUGGAUGUCUGAUUGAGGAGAUGAAUCAUGCAUCCUGCUAUGAUAUGACAGAGCAGUACCGUGAGUACAUAGGGAAGCAGCUCAACAACCGGCAUACUACAAUUUCAAUUUCUACAAUGCAGAUGAAUGCUAUGCAUUUUCCGGUGUAUGAGUUCUUUGUGAUUUCCUCCCAUAUUUUUGAUCCAGACUUUCAUGAUACACACACAUACUAUAAACUUUAGUACUACUAAUUGCUAGCUUUAUUUGGUCAUAUCUGAUUCUCUGUUGUUAAUCCUCUCCUACAUUGCCAAGCUCAGUUUGAUUAUAUGUGGAGGUGUGUUUUAUUCUCUGAUGAUAUUUCCAUAUUUUUGAAUAUAUGGCAAGCACAACUCUUGGUGUUAGCGCUUAUUCCUUUUAUUUUAGAUGGUUUACUACGGUACUUGAGAGUCAUUUAUUGAUUUAUUUUGG